rnacentral:rRNA from 1 species
UCAAGUAAUGAAGUGCACAUGGUGGAUGCCUUGGCAGUCAGAGGCGAUGAAAGACGUGAUAGCCUGCGAUAAGCGUCGGUGAGGUGGCAAUAUCCUGUGACCCGGCGAUUUCUGAAUGGGGAAACCCAGCCAACAUAAGUUGGCUAUCCUAACCUUUGGUUAGGAGGCAAACCGGGAGAAGUGAAACAUCUCAGUACCCCGAGGAAAAGACAUCAAUUGAGAUUCCCCAAGUAGCGGCGAGCGAACGGGGAGGAGCCGAUCGAAUUUACAGUAGCAAAAUGGCGUGGGAAAGCCAACCAUAGUAGGUGAUAGUCCUGUAUGCGAAACUGUUUAUGAGACAUAUUAAGUAGGGCGAGACACGUGAAAUCUUGUCUGAAGAUGGGGGGACCAUCCUCCAAGGCUAAAUACUCCUGACUGACCGAUAGUGAACCAGUACCGUGAGGGAAAGGCGAAAAGAACCCCUGUUAGGGGAGUGAAAUAGAACCUGAAACCGUGUGCAUACAAGCAGUCGGAGCGGACUUGUUCCGUGACGGCGUACCUUUUGUAUAAUGGGUCAGCGACUUAUAUUCUGUAGCAAGGUUAACCGUUUAGGGGAGCCGUAGGGAAACCGAGUCUUAAUAGGGCGAUUAAGUUGCAGGGUAUAGACCCGAAACCGAGUGAUCUAUCCAUGAGCAGGUUGAAAGUGCCGUAACAGGCACCGGAGGACCGAACCCACUGUCGUUGAAAAGCCAGGGGAUGACUUGUGGAUAGGGGUGAAAGGCUAAUCAAACUCGGUGAUAGCUGGUUCUCCCCGAAAGCUAUUUAGGUAGCGCCUCGGACGAAUACCAUUGGGGGUAGAGCACUGUUUCGGCUAGGGGUCAUCCCGACUUACCAAACCGAUGCAAACUCCGAAUACCGAUGAGUACUAUCCGGGAGACAGACGGCGGGUGCUAACGUCCGUCGUCAAGAGGGAAACAACCCAGACCGCCAGCUAAGGCCCCAAAUUCCUAGUUAAGUGGGAAACGAUGUGGGAAGGCACAGACAGCUAGGAGGUUGGCUUAGAAGCAGCCACCCUUUAAAGAAAGCGUAAUAGCUCACUAGUCGAGUCGGCCUGCGCGGAAGAUGUAACGGGGCUCAAACUAGGAGCCGAAGCUGCGGAUUUAAUUGUUUCAAUUAAGUGGUAGGGGAGCGUUGUGUAAGCCUGUGAAGGUGUAUCGUAAGGUAUGCUGGAGGUAUCACAAGAGCGAAUGCUGACGUGAGUAACGACAAAACGGGUGAAAAGCCCGUUCGCCGGAAGACCAAGGGUUCCAGUCCAACGUUAAUCGGGGCUGGGUGAGUCGACCCCUAAGGCGAGGCCGAAAGGCGUAGUCGAUGGGAAAUCGGUUAAUAUUCCGAUACUUGUUUAUGAUGCGAUGGAGGGACGGAGAAGGUUAUGUCAGCCUGGCGUUGGUUGUCCAGGUGGAAGGAUGUAGGUAGGUUUAGUAGGCAAAUCCGCUAGACUAUUACUGAGAUCUGAUAGCAAGCUGUACAUGUACAGCGAAGUGGCAAAUACCCUGCUUCCAGGAAAAGCUUCUAAGCGAUAGUCAUAAAGAAAUCGUACCCGAAACCGACACAGGUGGUCAGGUAGAGAAUACCAAGGCGCUUGAGAGAACUCUGCUGAAGGAACUAGGCAAAAUGGUACCGUAACUUCGGGAGAAGGUACGCUGCCGAUGGUGAUAAGACUUGCUCUUUGAGCUGUUGGCAGUCGCAGAUACCAGGCUGCUGCAACUGUUUAUUAAAAACACAGCACUCUGCAAACACGAAAGUGGACGUAUAGGGUGUGAUGCCUGCCCGGUGCUGGAAGGUUAAUUGAUGGGGUUAGCGUAAGCGAAGCUCUUGAUCGAAGCCCCAGUAAACGGCGGCCGUAACUAUAACGGUCCUAAGGUAGCGAAAUUCCUUGUCGGGUAAGUUCCGACCUGCACGAAUGGCAUAAUGAUGGCAGCGCUGUCUCCAGCAGAGACUCAGUGAAAUCGAAAUCGCAGUGAAGAUGCUGUGUACCCGCGGCUAGACGGAAAGACCCCGUGAACCUUUACUACAGCUUUACAUUGAACUUUGACCUAACUUGUGUAGGAUAGGUGGGAGGCUUUGAAGUGGUGACGCCAGUUGCCAUGGAGCCAACCUUGAAAUACCACCCUGGUUAUGUUGGGGUUCUAACUUAGAUAUAACAGUAUCAAGGACAAUGUAUGGUGGGUAGUUUGACUGGGGCGGUCUCCUCCUAAAGAGUAACGGAGGAGUACGAAGGUGCGCUCAGAACGGUCGGAAAUCGUUCAAAGAGUAUAAAGGCAAAAGCGCGCUUAACUGCGAGACCCACAAGUCGAGCAGGUACGAAAGUAGGUCUUAGUGAUCCGGUGGUUCUGUAUGGAAGGGCCAUCGCUCAACGGAUAAAAGGUACUCUGGGGAUAACAGGCUGAUACCGCCCAAGAGUUCAUAUCGACGGCGGUGUUUGGCACCUCGAUGUCGGCUCAUCUCAUCCUGGGGCUGAAGCAGGUCCCAAGGGUAUGGCUGUUCGCCAUUUAAAGAGGUACGCGAGCUGGGUUUAGAACGUCGUGAGACAGUUCGGUCCCUAUCUACCGUGGGCGUUGGAAAUUUGAGAGGAUCUGCUCCUAGUACGAGAGGACCAGAGUGGACGAACCUCUGGUGUUCCGGUUGUUUCGCCAGAAGCAUCGCCGGGUAGCUAUGUUCGGAUGGGAUAACCGCUGAAAGCAUCUAAGCGGGAAGCCCACCUCAAGAUAAGAUUUCCCUAAAGAGCCGUUGUAGACUACGACGUUGAUAGGUUGGGUGUGGAAGCACAGCGAUGUGUGUAGCUAACCAAUACUAAUUGCUCGUUUGGCUUGACCAU